CUCCCUCCCACAGGCGCGGGGCUAUGAGAGGCUGACAGAAAGUGUCCAUCCAACCCCCCCCCCUCCCCUUGCCUUUUUUUUUUUUUUCUUCAUAAAGCAAAUUGUAUCAACGUAUGUCGUCAGCAGUGCAGUCUGCAAAUAAAACUGCACAUCCGCCUCAACAUCUUGUGCCGUGCCGGCACAGGCAAACGUCCAGAGCUGUUUCUAACACAGGGGAGCCAAGCCAGAGCUCCAAGGGGUGCCAAGGUGCCAAGGGGUGCCACCCCAGAGCCAAGCCAGGGGUGAAAGGAGAGAUGAAUGAGACGCAUUACAUCAGGAAGAUUCUGCUGUUUCUCUUAAGCAUGAGCUGAGUUGCACAAUAACUAGGAAGAAGCUGCCAACUAAACCUAUAAACUUAAUCUUCCAUUCUCCUUUCUUGCCAGCUGGUGUUACAUUGCCGAGAGACCAGAGCAACGUCGAAAUCUUAAGAUGAGCCACCUGUCGUGAGCUCUGGAAAGCUCUGGUGGGCUACUGAUAGUUCAUGAUUUGGGUGGAGAUGUUUCUCUCCAAGCUGUUAUGUGAUGUGUGGGAUGGCUCAUGCAUCACCUUCCUGCAAAUGGGUCUUCCAGGGAAAGGCUGCAAAGAAAACAGCAGAGAAAAUGAAUGUAAGCAGUCACCUCUCAGAAGCUGUGGUGAGAUGACUUGGGGUGUCCCAGCGUGAAGUCCUCAGUACAGGGUAGAUGCGGACCUGUUGGAGCACAUCCAGAGGAGAGCUACAAAACUGAUCCAAGGGAUGGAACACCUCCCCUCUGAGGACGGGCUGAGAGAGCUGGGGCUAUUCAGCCUGGUGAAGAGAAGGCUCUGGGGAGACUUUAGACAGGCCUUUCAGUAGGGCUAUAUGAAGGAAGGGGACAGACUCUUUAGCAGGGCAUGUGGUGAUAAGACAAAGGGAAAUGGCUUCAAACUAAAAGAAGGGAGAUUUCAAUUGGAUAUAAGGAAGAAAUUUUUUACCGUAAGAAUAAUAAGGCACUGGAAGAGAUGCUGAGAGAUGUGAUGGAUGCUCACUCCCUGGGACAUUCAAGAUCAGGCUGCACAGGGCUCUGGACAACCUGAUCUGUCUGUGGCGUCUCUGUUCAUUGCAGGGGAGUUGGACUAGAUGGCCUUUAAAGGUCUCUUCCAAUUCAAAGGAUUCUAUGACCUUGUUGGCUGUGAAUUUCAGUGGCUUUUGAAUUCAACUCUGGAAAGUGACAAAGGUAGAGAAAUCACACUCACUGGUAGUGACCUUUCAGCCUUCACAUGCUUUUGUUGGAGUGCCAGUGUGACUUAGCCCAGUUACUGCUGUAAUAUGAUUGAAAUUGCUGGCUUUUAAAUGCAAAGAAAGAGUUUACACAGCCAUUAUUAAAAUACAGUGUUUCUGCUAUGACAUGUGAAACAGAACAGCAUAAAUAGAUAUUGCCACAUGCUGCAAACAUAGAAGGUGGGAGCUUUCUGUGACGGCCCUCCAUCCGUCCCGGCCGUGCUGCAGAGGCUUUCAUGCCCUGGGUGAAGGACAAGAAUAUCCUAUGGCAUCCUGCUGGACAUGAUUCACUGGGUUAUCUGUGAUUUCACCAGACAUCAGGCAUUAUUUGAGCUCAGACUUUCUCUUUUUUGCAAUUCUUGAAGGUUAUGGCACUAAGUCUAUUUUCAGCAGUUUGUACAGUGCUUUGUUUUAAUGAGGCUUAACAUGAAACGUCAUGCUGACUGCAGCCUGCAUUUCAUAGAAUCAUAGAAUGGCCUGGGUUGAAAAGGACCACAAUGAUCAUCGAGUUUCAACCCCCUGCUAUGUGCAGGGUUGCCAACCACCAGACCAGGCUGCCCAGAGCCACAUCCAGCCUGGCCUUGAAUGCCUCCAGGGAUGAGGCAUCCACAACCUCCUUGGGCAACCUGUUCCAGUGUUCCAUUUCAUGAGGACAGCACACUAAACUUCUGUCCUUUUUAGACUGAAAACAAAGAGGACAUAUGUUAAAUGUGAUUGAUACAAAACAGUGUGUAUACAUGUGGAAAACAGGGAGAAAAUAAAGUGGAUAAAUAAAAACAGAAGACUGCUGUCAGGACAAGAAUUACAGCUACAGCUUGUCUCCAGAAUCAGCAUCUCAGGACUUUGUUGAGGAAUACAGUCAGAAGGACCACAGCAGUUGGGGUUGUUGUUGUUGGAUUUGAAAUACAAGACUCAUCAGUGUAUUCAUUUCUCAUUGCACUGUUAUAUACUUAGUGGUUAGUAAAGCAUUUACCUCUGCUUUGAAUGUCAGGAUACAACCGCUGUGUUACUGGAAAUAUAUGUGAAGUACUUGGCAAAAUGGAUAGAACUUAAGGGUCUGCAGAUGUUUGCUUUAGGGAAGCACAUCUGAAAUGUAGUAAAUGCCCAGGAAUCUCAGCAGAUCACCCUGCAACAGUAGUGCUGAGCACAAUGUAAUGACGGGGCUUCUGAAGAGGUGCCAGGGGGAGUGUCUGCAGUUUGGGGUGGUGGCAAGGAAUGGAGUGGGUUAGGGUGGCGAGUGUACAUGAAGACACAGUUGAUGUUUUAACGAGGAAAAUACACCAUCGAAAGUGUGUUUGGAUAUUUCAUACCAUUACAUAAGGGUGCAAGAAGAGGAGUGGAAGGCAGUGGGGAGAGGUGAGAUGGGGCAGAAGGACUUCUCCUGGGCAGCUAUGCCCUUCUCCUGGGCAGCUGGGACCUACAUGCUAUGCUGGACAGGCUCUCAAAGAACACGAGGCAUCCCAUCAGAGAUGUGGGUUACGAAAGAAAAUGUGGUACAAAACAUCUUUUUGGCUCGAGUUUAACAUUAUGAACAAGAUUAUUCCUUUACUGUUUUACUGUUCAUCACCCAGACCUCCUCAAGUGUAUCCAACUUUCACCAGCUGGAGAAGCAGGGCUGAAGGACACACUCUUUCUUUUAAGUGACCUCCUCAAUACUGGAUGAAGGAUUUCACCACAGUUCUGCUGGUAGACUGUCCUGUCCUGACUGAUACAAACAAUGUAAUUGUGGCUGGCCUGCAGGAUCAUUAUGCCUAAAAUUCAAAACAUGUCCUGGUUGUGCUCUCCUCCUUUUGUUAUAACAUUUUCCACGUGGCGUAACUCCAACCUGUUGUCCCCCACCCAAUAUGUUGUACAUCCAGCCAUUGUACUUUCUGUCAGAUCAGUGUUCUUUGGCACAGGAUCAGCCUUCUGAUGCCUGAUGUGAGCAGGCCUUUGCUACCCUGUGGGGUCCCAAACACUGCCCAUCUCCAGAGCACAAGUUGCUGUGCCCCGACUGCUACUCAGGUCAGGUCCUUUGGACUUGAGGCACACGCUGUGCUCUGGCUCAGUCUCUUAUGGGAACACUGGGGACACAGUGGUGCAGCCGUGCUGCAGAGCAGACCUGCCAUGAGUGAGCCAGACAGCAGCAGAGAACUUUUCCUGCACCCUCUGGACACAGCCUACUGAACGUGUGAAUGUAUUUCAGUAAGGGGUCUGCUUGCUGUAGACAGGUCUCAACGCAGAAGCCAAGUAAACAAACAUGUAACAAAUGAUUUGUCUUCAAAUAAGAACGUAAAGGAUUGUCCUUUCAGAAUUUUCGUCUAUAACCUGCAGACCUAAAAUGACUUUUCUUUCACCUUCAGAUAUGUGCGUAUGAUUUAAAGUCCUUGCAAGAAAUAGGAGCUGCUGAUCUGCAUCCCAGUACUGUUUUGAAGCUAUACCCUGCCACAGCAUUUUCUGCACUGCUCAUGAAAAGUAAUUUGUCAGGAAAUAUAUGGUCUUAUAUUGUUUAUUUUCACCUUUGGCACAGGACUUGGAAGUAAAAAUAAUUAUUCUCCAGACAGUUUAAUUAACUUAGUUCCUCUGCAGUUGUCUAUGUAUAGGUUUCAGAAUUCUUUAGAGAAUAAAAGAAAAUGUGUUGACAGCUCCUUAGCCAUCUGCAGACGUGUCAGUAUAUUUUAGGUUUUUGUUUCUCACAAUAACUGAAGAAAAACCUGAAUCCCCUUGCUAAAGUUAAGCUGUUCAUUAUGCUCCCUCAAAGCAUGUGGGAUCGCUGUAGGUCUGUGGACUCUUCAAGCACUAAGUUAACCAACUUGCUAAGUGAUUUGUUAAAUUCAUCCCCGUUUAGCAAAGAAGCAUUAGAAUGCUGCUUUUCCUGAAAUCUCGUCUUAAGCUCAGACAAAACUGGGUCUCUCCUCAUACUUUGCUAAUUCCACCUCUCCCAACUCGAACUGGCCCUGUUUUGCAGAUUUGAGCAGCUCACGCAGAGAGCUCAGUGCAGGAGCAAAGGUCAUUCCCCCAGCAUAGUCUCCUUGUGGUGCCAGAAAUACAGGCAAGAGAUCGUGCUUCUCUGCCAUUCCCUGCUGAAACCGUCAGUGCCCAGGCUCUGCACAGGUCGUCAGAGACAUCUUGCAUGUAUGAUACCAUCAACACCAGCAAUCAGUUGUGUAUUACAUAUUUUCAUCCACAGGUAACCUUAAAAUUUCCUUCCAUGCAGUAACUUUAGAAACAAGAUUUUACUCUGGUUUAGUGACAGUAAUGACUUGAAUCAAAAAUUACUUGAAACUUACACCUGUUUUAACAUUUCUCAUUGUUGCCUGAAGUAGCUCAACCUGAUUUCAAGGGUGUUUCUUUGAGCUCAUAGAAGUCGCUGCAGGGUCAAAUGUCUGGCAUUCAGAGAUACCUCAGUCCUGCAAACAUUUUUUCUGCCUUCCUCUGAUAUAUCUGAGUUACAGCAUGUAGGCUACACUUGGAGUCAGAGCUAUGCUGGACAGUGGUGCCCUGAGCUGCACUCUGUGCUGUGCGGAGGUUGGUGGUAGAGGCAGAAUUUAGCCAAGAUUGGUUGGCUUUAUCCCUCUGGGUGUAUUCCAGCAGUACUGUAUCUGCCUGUCACUAUAUAAUCAUGCUAAGCUAUUAUCCAGAAACUGUAGACUGGCAGAAGUCUUUUUCUAUACUUUAUGUUCACAUUUUUUUUCUCUAUACUUAUAUAAAAGUGCUUUUAACAGCCUAUGAACACUUUUUAAACUGAGUCAAAAUAACGAUUCCAACACAUUCGCACUUGCAAGAAGUGUUUAUUUUAUCUUACAUGAAAGCCAUCGAGGUCUGUAAAAAGCAGAGCAGAAAUCAGUGCUCUACCUUGCUGCAAACCAGUUGGUGAUCAUGGCUGGAAGGUCCCACAGUUCGUCACUUUGCAGACCACUCUGGGCCUUUCAUUAUGCGUCGGUACGGUUUCCAGUCGCUGGAGAACCUCUGUGCCCUCAAUCAGUUGCCUGCAGUAGGGAGGAAUAGCAGCUUUGAUCCACCUUUGCUGCCUGAGCAGUAUCCCCCGUCCCUGAAGCCAGCUCUGCAGCCACCAUAACAAAACCAAGCAGGCUCUGCUCUUUAUUCUUCACAAUGGUGUAAAAAACACCACUGGUUCUUGAUUAAAUAGUUGCUAUUUAGCUUUUUAGGGGAUAUGAAAAUACUGAGUUAUGGCAGUUACAUUUAUUUAAAGAAACAAGCCUUGCACCCAGCUACAAAUGGCCAUUAAUUUGGGGGAGAAAGAAGUAAAAAAUGGUGUUAUCAGAAGUGACAGAUAUUGGAAGUGUUUCCCUGAGAAAUACCUUUCAUUUUCUCCCUUUGCAGUGCCAACCUGAGUCCUGAAAAUAGUCCAAUGUUUUGCAAUCUUUACAGUUUUCAAGAUCUUUUGAAAAAGCCUUAGAUAAUUAGAAGUACAAAUUAUCUGAACUUUUCCUCUGUUUUGAAAGAGAGAUGGCUACAAGGGAAAAUGGUUUCCAGUUUUUCUAUAUGUUAAUAAAGAGCUUGUCCUACAGAGAUUAGCCUUGUAACGGAGGUCAGUUGUGCUCAAGGAUCCUGCACCUUCCAGAUUACACAGCUGGUGGCAAGGCAGGAAGGGAAGGUAAACACCAAGGGUUGGAAAUCUGUCCAGCCAGCCACCACACUUGGCUUGUUCUCUGUAGCUUAGGCAGUCAUGCUUUUCACAUCCUUCCAAAAUGCUGUCUGUAACAGUGACUUGAAAGCAGCACUGCAGACUUCUCUCUCUGAAGCAAACUGCACAGAGCAAUGAUCAUCCUCAUUACAUUUAUGAAAAGCUGAGAAUCCCAACAGAGCCAGUCCUGCAUUAAUUUACUGAGACAAACACUCAAAAAACUAUUUAUCUAGGCCAUUGGGGGCUGAGCAGAAACUAGAGGCUUUGCUCCAGUACCAUUAGGACACACCUCCAACUGACACCAAGCUAUGCAGGCACCUCUUUGCAGCCUUUGUCCUUGAGAGAUCCCAGCAGCUCUCUUAUCUUUACCAUUGGGUUUUCCAGCUUGAUCAAGCCAGGCCAGAGCAAAGAAAUGGAAAAAAGGGUGUCAGUAGGUACAUCAAAUGUGACUUAUCCAUACUCUCCCUGGCCAGAGACAUCCAUGUUGCAGUUGCCGUAGGAAUCACAUGGACUCCAUGUCCUGCAGAGCUAGGGUGACCUAUGUGCUGCAGCAGAUGCAAGCUUGUGCAUACAUACCCAAAGGCCACGCAUUUUUUAUCCAGGUAGGGAACCGGCUGGAGGGUGAUGUAGAACUGAGAGCCGUUGCUGUGGCGGCCCUUAUUAGCCAUCCCAAGGACUCCUCUUCCCUUGUGAGGGAUGGCAUAGUUUUCAUCUGGGAAAAGAGUUCAGGGAUAAAAGGCAGAAUAUCUGUACUGCUUCAGCUGUUCCUCUUUUCUUCCAGCUCCCAUAACCUCCCAUGUCCUUCUUUCCCACUUGCCCUUUUCCUUUUUCCACAAAGGUCCCUCAUCAAGUCUCAUGUGAGUGAAGUCUGGUAUGAGCCAAUGUCCUUCCUUGAAAAGUCUUCCCACUAAUAUUCAGUUCUCAAGCAAGCAAAGAAGCCAAUUAAAAUAUUUAGAUUUUAUCAUUUUUUUUUCAUAAUUUUCACCCUUUUUGAGUGCCUUUCUCCGAAGCUGAUUCAUAAAAAUGGUAAUUAAAUGUUAUCUGAAUAGAUACUCCCCAAAAGCUGACUCGUGGUUUGCAAAAUAUCUUCAGCAGUCUAAUUUCGGAUUAGAAUGCUUUGUGCUAUGACACGGCUCUCCUGUCCAAGUGAUUCUCUGUAAUUACCUCAGUACUUUGAGCUCGUCACAGUAAAAUGUAGCUGUGUCCCAUUAAUUUCAGCAGGCAUUGCAGUGAACGGAGGCGUGCCAGCCACCCAGUUUUGCAGAGAAGUUUCACCAUCUGACAGAGGCAUCUGUCACUGUUUGCAGAUAUCAGAGAUAUUUGUCCUCUGCCCUCUGUGUAAAUAGUUUGGCAGAAGAACUCGGAAAGCAAUCUAAGCCUUAAAAUAGACAGGCAUAGCCAAGUGAACACCUUGCUAGGGGAUGAAAAGCAAUGCGCAGCUUUUAAAGGAAAAGGAGAAGGAGCACAGCCCUGGGCAACAGAGCUCAAACCCGCCUGGCUACUCAAUUCCAGCCUGCUUUGGCUUGGUCCCAUAGCCUCGAGGUGAAAACGGGCUCUUUGCUGCCUUUGAAAAUAAAGUUUUCAGCUACGCUUGGCACUUCUGAUCUCACUGCUGGCUGCUGCCCAGCCUGCUCAAAUGUAACAUUGGUAGUGACAUUGUCAGUAAGAAAGCUUUUACCUAAGAGAACAUAAAUCAGUUUCAGAAGUGCUUUAGCUGACCUGAAAUGUCUUUAUGGGUAGCAUUUAAUCCAAACAGAACAUCCCAAAUGUCUAUGUCAAUUACAUGGGUUAUUUUUCUUAAAUAUUGCAUGUAAUAAUGUUCUUUUUUCUUUAGAUCUAACUACUUUCUAUCAGCAGGGGGGAACAUUUAUUGUUAAAUUUGCUCGUGCCUGUCAUUUCCCAACUUUCACAGCUUUAUAGGUGUUCUACAUUAGUUGGAUUCAGAAGUAAUUCACAUCUGGAGCUGCAGAACCAAUAGUGGCAAUGCCUGUGAUGUGCCCAAGCCUUAAAAGCUGCACGAGAUUCAGGAAAUCUGAAGUUAAAGCCAACUCACUUCCAUUACUUUAAACACAUUUAAGCAAAAGGUGUCAGCUGCCUGGAGAUAUGCAGCUAACCCACUUCUGUGUGAGUGUUUGUGGUUUGAAGCAGGCAGGCAGGUAACCCUCUGCCCUGAUUUUGACAGGGAAAAGGACUGGUGGAGCUGAGCAUCCAGCACAGGGGCCAAGACUGCAAGUCAGUUCUUAAGCCAAAAUCUCACUGAAAAUCAAACUAUUUCCUCAAGUGAAAUGAAGGGAAAUCCCAAGGUUAUUCUGUAAGAUCGGAUAAACAGCUUGAUUUUUGUUGAAAUUUGACAUUUGUGCAGUGAGGUAAUUUAGAGAACAUACCUUCAAAUGUGGGACCAUAAAUUGACUCUCCUCCAUCUCCUUUCCCAGUUAUGUCUGUUGGGGAGACAGGAAGUAAUGAUCAGAGGUCACGUGGAUCACAGGCAUGGCUCAGGGUUGUCUGAGUGGCUCCAGCAGAGCUUGGAGGCAUGGGUUGCCCAUCUUCCAGGGAAGCCAAAAUUACUCUUUUAGUACCAACAUUUUAACAGACUUUUUGGAAGAACUUUUCAUGAAUCACUGCAUCAACCAAGGUAGGGGCAGGCUGGGAGAAGGGCAUCGAUUGCAGUGAGUGGGUUAGAGCAAGGAAGGGGGAAAAUGCAGCUAUGAUGUUAUGGCAGAUUAAUACUGCUAACUUGCCUGAGAAAAAUGAUUUGGUAAAAGAGAAAUGGAAAAAGAUUUCCGAUGGGCAAGGCAAUAAUUUUAGGUUGCUUUGUGGACUACAUAGAUAGCUGCUUAGAUAUUUUUGGACUUUUAAAGUACAUCUUCAAAGUAUAAACUAAAAAUGGAUUUGAGCAGUCCCACUUGGAAUAAGCAGGGCAAACACGGGUAAGAAAUACAGGUAGGUAAGACAGAUGAUUGACCAAAGGGGAGUGAGUAAUGAAGGCAAUCUCUUCUGAUACAGCUCUGUAUCUUGUCCUCCCUCAGGGUGCCAGACAGCCUGUGUUAUGAGAUCUUCAUAGUGUCUUUCUCCUCAGUACGCAGUGCCUGACUCCAGGCAUGGCUCUGCUGCUCAAGCAGCUCACUAGCAUGUCUGACGUGGCUCUAAGACUUGACUAAAUGCCUCCAUAAGUUAAUGUCUCAAUAAAACAAGUAAUAUGGUUUCCUGUG